rnacentral:rRNA from 1 species
GAUGAACGCUAGCGGCAGGCCUAAUACAUGCAAGUCGAACGGUGUAGCAAUACACAGUGGCGCACGGGUGCGUAACACGUAUGCAACCUACCUUACAUUGGGGGAUAGCCUUUCGAAAGGGAGAUUAAUACCGCAUAAGACAGUAACUAGGCAUCUAGUAGCUGUUAAAGAUUUAUCGAUGUAAGCUGGGCAUGCGUCCAAUUAGUUAGUUGGUGAGGUAACGGCUCACCAAGACGAUGAUUGGUAGGGGAACUGAGAGGUCAAUCCCCCACACUGGCACUGAGAUACGGGCCAGACUCCUACGGGAGGCAGCAGUAGGGAAUAUUGGGCAAUGGGCGCAAGCCUGACCCAGCCAUGCCGCGUGCAGGAAGAAGGCGUUAUGCGUUGUAAACUGCUUUUAUACAGGAAGAAACGACCCUUGCGAGGGGCAUUGACGGUACUGUAUGAAUAAGCACCGGCUAACUCCGUGCCAGCCGCCGCCGUAACAC